CUAAGCAUGAUAUCCACUUGCAUUUUUGUUGCAUGUUAACACUUGCUACUGACACGUACUGUGUUGCUGUUGUCUGUUUUAUUAUUUUUCACUUAAUUUACUUUGGUCAUAUAUAUUACAUAUAUAUAUAUAUAUUGAAAGUGUAAUAUACACCCAUUAUAUUAUCAUCAUGACUUCUGUGUAAAGAUUCCCUAACUCUCAUGACUCAGAUGGCCCAAUAACAAUAGCACAGGGACCUCUCGAAAGCAGUUGCUCGAAGAGAAGCACUCGGAAUUUGUACGGGAAGCACUGCCGGAGCUCCUUAGCCUCCUAGCUGGGCAUUUGCAAGUGGAAGACACAGAGAAAAAAAAGAAAACGGGUGACAAGCGCACAGCAAGAGAACUCCUAGGUUUCAUGAAGUCCGCAGGUGUGCUGUCCGUUGACGUGGUCAAGUCUCUGUCAUUCAUACUGGGAGCAUCUGUGCAGGGG
rnacentral:lncRNA from 1 species